rnacentral:rRNA from 1 species
AGUGAACGCUGGCGGUAGGCCUAACACAUGCAAGUCGAACGGCAGCACAGUAAGAGCUUGCUCUUACGGGUGGCGAGUGGCGGACGGGUGAGGAAUACAUCGGAAUCUACUUUUUCGUGGGGGAUAACGUAGGGAAACUUACGCUAAUACCGCAUACGACCUACGGGUGAAAGCAGGGGAUCUUCGGACCUUGCACGAUUGAAUGAGCCGAUGUCGGAUUAGCUAGUUGGCGGGGUAAGGGCCCACCAAGGCGACGAUCCGUAGCUGGUCUGAGAGGAUGAUCAGCCACACUGGAACUGAGACACGGUCCAGACUCCUACGGGAGGCAGCAGUGGGGAAUAUUGGACAAUGGGCGCAAGCCUGAUCCAGCCAUACCGCGUGGGUGAAGAAGGCCUUCGGGUUGUAAAGCCCUUUUGUUGGGAAAGAAAAGCAGCAGGUUAAUACCCCGCUGUUCUGACGGUACCCAAAGAAUAAGCACCGGCUAACUUCGUG